AGUCAUAAUUACUAUUCCUCGUAAAUAGUGAUUGUGAUCAGCGGUGCGGGUGUGUUGCCGCACAUCCCCACCGCGCU
rnacentral:antisense_RNA from 1 species